rnacentral:rRNA from 1 species
ACAAGUAGUCAGAGCCCGUUAAUGGGUGAUGGCGUGCCUUUUGUAGAAUGAACCGGCGAGUUACGAUUUGAUGCAAGGUUAAGCAGUAAAUGUGGAGCCGUAGCGAAAGCGAGUCUGAAUAGGGCGUUUAGUAUUUGGUCGUAGACCCGAAACCAGGUGAUCUACCCUUGGUCAGGUUGAAGUUCAGGUAACACUGAAUGGAGGACCGAACCGACUUACGUUGAAAAGUGAGCGGAUGAACUGAGGGUAGCGGAGAAAUUCCAAUCGAACCUGGAGAUAGCUGGUUCUCUCCGAAAUAGCUUUAGGGCUAGCCUCAAGUGAUGAUUAUUGGAGGUAGAGCACUGUUUGGACGAGGGGCCCCUCUCGGGUUACCGAAUUCAGACAAACUCCGAAUGCCAAUUAAU